rnacentral:rRNA from 1 species
CGAGAAUCUUCCGCAAUGGGCGAAAGCCUGACGGAGCAAUGCCGCGUGAGGGAAGAAUGCCUUCGGGUUGUAAACCUCUGUCACCCGGGACGAAAUUUGACGGUACCGGGAGAGGAAGUCACGGCUAACUACGUGCCAGCAGCCGCGGUAACACGUAGGUGGCAAGCGUUAUUCGGAUUUACUGGGCGUAAAGGGUCCGCAGGGGGCCUGACAAGUCUGUCGUGAAAGGCCAAGGCUCAACCUUGGCACUGCGGUGGAAACAGUCGGGCUAGAGUCAGUGAGGGGCAGACGGAACACCUGGUGUAGCGGUGGAAUGCGUAGAUAUCAGGUGGAACACCUAUGGCGAAGGCGGUCUGCUGGCACAUGACUGACCCUCAGGGACGAAAGCGUGGGUAGCAAACA